UAGAAGCACAUAGGUAUUGCAGCUUUGUGAUCCUCUCCUAAGAAUAUCUUCCUUUGUUCUCACUCUGUGUGAAUACCUAGAGACAUAUAUAAUUUAUGAUAUCCUAGUGUAUUUUUUCUUUGAACUAUA